UACAGAGAUCUCAAGCGUUGUUCGGAUUCAUUGGGCGUAAAGGGCGCGUAGGCGGGAUGGCAAGUCGGUCGUGAAAUCCUUCGGCUCAACCGAAGAACGUCGGCCGAUACUGCCGUUCUUGAGGGAUGCAGAGGAGAUUGGAAUUCCCGGUGUAGCGGUGAAAUGUGUAGAGAUCGGGAGGAACACCGGUGGCGAAGGCGACUUUCUGGUCUAUAACUGACACUGAGGCGCGAAAGCGUGGGGAGCAAACAGGG
rnacentral:rRNA from 1 species